rnacentral:rRNA from 1 species
AUUGAACGCUGGCGGCAUGCUUUACACAUGCAAGUCGAACGGCAGCGCGGGGCAACCUGGCGGCGAGUGGCGAACGGGUGAGUAAUAUAUCGGAACGUACCCAGAAGUGGGGGAUAACGUAGCGAAAGUUACGCUAAUACCGCAUACGAUCUACGGAUGAAAGUAGGGGACCGCAAGGCCUUAUGCUUUUGGAGCGGCCGAUAUCUGAUUAGCUAGUUGGUGAGGUAAAGGCUCACCAAGGCGACGAUCAGUAGCUGGUCUGAGAGGACGACCAGCCACACUGGAACUGAGACACGGUCCAGACUCCUACGGGAGGCAGCAGUGGGGAAUUUUGGACAAUGGGCGCAAGCCUGAUCCAGCAAUGCCGCGUGAGUGAAGAAGGCCUUCGGGUUGUAAAGCUCUUUUGUCAGGGAAGAAACGGUAGAGGCUAAUAUCCUUUGCUAAUGGCGGUACCUGAAGAAUAAGCACCGGCUAACUACGUG